rnacentral:rRNA from 1 species
GCGGGCGUAGCAAUACGUCAGCGGCAGACGGGUGAGUAACGCGUGGGAACGUACCUUUUGGUUCGGAACAACACAGGGAAACUUGUGCUAAUACCGGAUAAGCCCUUACGGGGAAAGAUUUAUCGCCGAAAGAUCGGCCCGCGUCUGAUUAGCUUGUUGGUGAGGUAACGGCUCACCAAGGCGACGAUCAGUAGCUGGUCUGAGAGGAUGAUCAGCCACAUUGGGACUGAGACACGGCCCAAACUCCUACGGGAGGCAGCAGUGGGGAAUAUUGGACAAUGGGCGCAAGCCUGAUCCAGCCAUGCCGCGUGAGUGAUGAAGGCCCUAGGG